rnacentral:rRNA from 1 species
ACGCUGGCGGCAGGCCUAACACAUGCAAGUCGAGCGGUAGCACAGGGAGCUUGCUCCUGGGUGACGAGCGGCGGACGGGUGAGUAAUGUCUGGGAAACUGCCUGAUGGAGGGGGAUAACUACUGGAAACGGUAGCUAAUACCGCAUAACGUCGCAAGACCAAAGAGGGGGACCUUCGGGCCUCUUGCCAUCAGAUGUGCCCAGAUGGGAUUAGCUAGUAGGUGGGGUAACGGCUCACCUAGGCGACGAUCCCUAGCUGGUCUGAGAGGAUGACCAGCCACACUGGAACUGAGACACGGUCCAGACUCCUACGGGAGGCAGCAGUGGGGAAUAUUGCACAAUGGGCGCAAGCCUGAUGCAGCCAUGCCGCGUGUAUGAAGAAGGCCUUCGGGUUGUAAAGUACUUUCAGCGGGGAGGAAGGCGAUAAGGUUAAUAACCUUGUCGAUUGACGUUACCCGCAGAAGAAGCACCGGCUAACUCCGUGCCAGCAGCCGCGGUAAUACGGAGGGUGCAAGCGUUAAUCGGAAUUACUGGGCGUAAAGCGCACGCAGGCGGUCUGUCAAGUCGGAUGUGAAAUCCCCGGGCUCAACCUGGGAACUGCAUUCGAAACUGGCAGGCUAGAGUCUUGUAGAGGGGGGUAGAAUUCCAGGUGUAGCGGUGAAAUGCGUAGAGAUCUGGAGGAAUACCGGUGGCGAAGGCGGCCCCCUGGACAAAGACUGACGCUCAGGUGC